UCCGCCUUGUUUUUUCAAAAACAUCGCCUCUUGAUUAAACAUAAGAGGUCCAGCCUGCCCAGUGACAUAGUUUAACGGCCGCGGUACCCUAACCGUGCGAAGGUAGCAUAAUCACUUGUUCUUUAAAUAGGGACUCGUAUCAACGGCAUCACGAGGGCUAUACUGUCUCCUUUCUCCAAUCAAUGAAACUGAUCUCCCCGUGAAGAAGCGGGGAUUAACCUAUAAGACGAGAAGACCCCAUGGAGCUUCAAACUCAACAUAUACCUCUACGCACUUAAACCACUUUAGCCCAAGAGACCUCUAUGUUAGUUUUGGGUUGGGGGGACCGCGGAGUAAAAAUUAACCUCCACGACAAACGGGCUUUAUGCCCUUAUCCACGAACCACAGCUCUAAGAAUCAAUAAACUGAUGUUUAUGACCCGAUUAUUCGAUCAACGAACCAAGUUACCCUGGGGAUAACAGCGCAAUCUACUUCAAGAGCCCCUAUCGACAAGUAGGUUUACGACCUCGAUGUUGGAUCAGGGUAUCCUAGUGGUGCAGCCGCUACUAAUGGUUCGUUUGUUCAACGAUUAAAACCCUACGUGAUCUGUUCAAAAACCGGAA
rnacentral:rRNA from 1 species